CCUACGGGGGGCACCAGUGGGGAAUAUUGCACAAUGGGCGCAAGCCUGAUGCAGCGACGCCGCGUGGGGGAUGACGGCCUUCGGGUUGUAAACUCCUUUCGCUAGGGACGAAGCUUUUUGUGACGGUACCUAGAUAAGAAGCACCGGCUAACUACGUGCCAGCAGCCGCGGUAAUACGUAGGGUGCGAGCGUUGUCCGGAAUUACUGGGCGUAAAGGGCUCGUAGGUGGUUUGUCGCGUCGUCUGUGAAAUUCCGGGGCUUAACUCCGGGCGUGCAGGCGAUACGGGCAUAACUUGAGUACUGUAGGGGUAACUGGAAUUCCUGGUGUAGCGGUGAAAUGCGCAGAUAUCAGGAGGAACACCGAUGGCGAAGGCAGGUUACUGGGCAGUUACUGACGCUGAGGAGCGAAAGCAUGGGUAGCGAACAGGAUUAGAUACCCCGGUAGUC
rnacentral:rRNA from 1 species